UCUUUCCCGCUUUUUAGGUUCCGGAUGUGGAAUGCAGGCAACGACAAGAACAGCUUGCUAAACCGCAUAGACUUGGACUGCUAUGAUAGCACUACUGUCUACUGGUUCUAAUAAAUAGUAAAGUUUUAUAAAGGAAUAAUAUCUACUUAUUUGAUAGAAUUCGAAAUCAGACAUAAAACUUUCAAGGAGCUUUAGAACCUGAUGCCAUUUCAACUAUAUAGAAGGAAGUUUUACAUAAUAUAUAUCAUUAUAUAUAUUCUUAUUAUUAAUAGUUUUCCAUCUUCGCUUUACUUUUACGCAAUACAGUAGAUGAUUUAGAAUCGAAUGAAGAACUGAUAGAGAGUGAUAUUGAUGAUGCAAAUACAGAUGAUAAUACAAGUACAGAGUUAGAUGAAGAAACAGCAGAUUAUAAUAUGGAAAAACGUCUCAUGACAUGAUAAUUGUUAUUCUCAAAAAUUUUAUUAGUAAUCAUCUUUCAACGUUAUAUUGCUGGAAUGGAAAAAGUAUGAAGAAAGAGCCGUUCAAAGAUUUAUUGUUAACUAAAUGCAUAAAAAAAUGUGUUCAUGCAAAAUUCGAAACGGAUGACAAACAAAUUAUCGAAGUCAUCUCUAAAUGGUUCAUCCAGGGCAAAUUACGUCAUGACAGAGAUGAAGAACGAUUACAAC